GCCCGGCUAGCUCAGUUGGUAGAGCAUGAGACUCUUAAUCUCAGGGUCGUGGGUUCAAGCCCCAUGUUGGGCA